GCAAAGACAAGGUAAGAAGUAGGGGAACCUCCCGAAAAAGGAUGCUCGGGAAAAUAAGUCGGGAAAUUUGUCUGCAGGCUGCGCCAAAAAGCCCCCGAUGGCUGGACCUAUAAUCAAACCAAUGCCCCAUGCAGUGCUCACAAUUGAUAAUGCUAGAGCUUGAUGUUCUACGUGACAAACUUCAAUAGCAUAAGCCCUUAUUGGUCCAAGCAAACCAUUUAACGCUCCAAGAAGAAACCUUGUAGCAAUUGCCAUCCAGUAACUUGUACUCAAUCCGAACAAUGUGUUGAAUAUAAUCACGGAAACAAUUCCAAUCAUUACGACAGGCUUCCUUCCAUAUCGGUCGGCCACCAUCCCCCAAAGUACAGAAGUUAGAGCUCUACCAAGCAUAAGAGAAGA
rnacentral:misc_RNA from 1 species